AACCAUAUUACACUGAACCACCAGUUCUCAUGCCAUCACCAAAGUUAAUCAACGUCAAGCCUGGUCAGUACCUAGAUGGGUGAAUGCUUGGGAAUAUCAGGUGCCGUAA